UUGUCUUUCUCUCUUUCCUCACAUAGCCUGCAGACUAUUUUGAUUGGGUUGCUUGUGAACAGCCCUGCUAGCGCUACGCAAUUGUGCUAACUGCUCACAGCUUAGAACAGAAAAAAGAAAAACACACCAACAAAUAGAAAACUCCCCGAUGUUGUGGGAGAUAUGCUCCGACAAGAACGUCAAGGAGCCGGGGAAACCAAAAAAGCAAUAAUCUGAGCCUCUUCAAAUAAACCCUGUCAUCUGGUGGAUGGUGGGGAGAGGAGACCCCAUUUCCCCCUUUAAAACACCAUCCCCCACCCCAUCCCAUUGCUGGGUUUAGACACAGGUUGUAAGGUUGUUAACAUGUGCCAUCCGGCUUUGAUGUGGAUCCAGAUGCUGACAUCAUUGUUUUGGGGAGCAGAACA